UUACAAAAAGAAGGAGUUUGAGAGAUGGAAGAAGGCUCAAAAUGAGAGAAAAAGAGGGAGAUAUAUUCUGAUAGCUAAAAAAAUGUUAAGAAAUAUUCUGAAAAAUCCCGGGGAUAUACAAAGAAUAUAUCGAAUAUACUGAUAAUAUACAAAACAUCAGAAGAAGAAAUCGAAAAGAUCUUGAGAAAUUCUGUAGAAAAGCUUAAGCAAGUUUGGGUCCAGGUUUCAAGUGGGUUAAUUCCUGGGUUCUUGUUGCACUACUAUUGUUAUUGUUGUUGUGUUACUACUGCUGGCUACUCUUCCUCCUUCUAUUUUCUAUUAUCCAGGUACACACUCUG
rnacentral:lncRNA from 1 species